UAGUACUGCAAUGUAAACAUUGCAGUUUCUCUAACACUGCAAUGUUUUACAUUGCAGGUCUA
rnacentral:miRNA from 1 species